rnacentral:rRNA from 1 species
AUUGAACGCUGGCGGCAGGCCUAACACAUGCAAGUCGAACGAGUGGCGGACGGGUGAGUAAUGCCUGGGCAACUUUCUGAUGGAGGGGGAUAACUACUGGAAACGGUAGGUAAUACCCCAUACCAUCCGAUGUGCCCAGUUGGGAUUAGCUGGUGGGGGGGGUAAAGGCUCACCUAGGCGACGAUACCUAGCUGGUCUGAGAGGAUGACCGGCAAAACUGGAACGGGGACACGGUCAGGACUCCUACGGGAGGAGGAAGGGGGGAAUAUUGGACAAUGAGCGAAGGCCUGAUGAAGACAGGCCGGGGAGAUAUAAAAGGCCUUGGGGUUGUAAAGUACGUUCAGCGGGACGGCGGUACCCGAAGAGAAAGCAACGGCUAACUCCGUGCCAGCAGCCGCGGUAAUAC